rnacentral:rRNA from 1 species
AGAGUUUGAUCAUGGCUCAGGAUGAACGCUGGCGGCGUGCCUAACACAUGCAAGUCGAGCGAUCUUCUUCGGAAGAGAGCGGCGGACGGUGAGUAACGCGUGGGUAACCUGCCCUGUACACACGGAUAACAUACCGAAAGGUAUGCUAAUACGAGAUAAUAUGCUUUUAUCGCAUGGUAGAAGUAUCAAAGCUCCGGCGGUACAGGAUGGACCCGCGUCUGAUUAGCUAGUUGGUAAGGUAACGGCUUACCAAGGCGACGAUCAGUAGCCGACCUGAGAGGGUGAUCGGCCACAUUGGAACUGAGACACGGUCCAAACUCCUACGGGAGGCAGCAGUGGGGAAUAUUGCACAAUGGGCGAAAGCCUGAUGCAGCAACGCCGCGUGAGCGAUGAAGGCCUUCGGGUCGUAAAGCUCUGUCCUCAAGGAAGAUAAUGACGGUACUUGAGGAGGAAGCCCCGGCUAACUACGUG